ensembl:snRNA
AAAAAGGGGGGCUUCUGUUACAAGUGCCACAGGUAGGGCAGUUUGUCCUUCCUGAGGAAUUGAUAUCAAGAAAUUUCAGAAGCAUAAUUUUUUUGUACUUAGGCAGCUCGUAGUCAUCGUUUCUGGUACCCCA